rnacentral:rRNA from 1 species
CAAGCCCUGGAAACGGGGUCUAAUACCGGAUAUGACUGUCCAUCGCAUGGUGGAUGGUGUAAAGCUCCGGCGGUGCAGGAUGAGCCCGCGGCCUAUCAGCUUGUUGGUGAGGUAGUGGCUCACCAAGGCGACGACGGGUAGCCGGCCUGAGAGGGCGACCGGCCACACUGGGACUGAGACACGGCCCAGACUCCUACGGGAGGCAGCAGUGGGGAAUAUUGCACAAUGGGCGAAAGCCUGAUGCAGCGACGCCGCGUGAGGGAUGACGGCCUUCGGGUUGUAAACCUCUUUCAGCAGGGAAGAAGCGAAAGUGACGGUACCUGCAGAAGAAGCGCCGGCUAACUACGUGCCAGCAGCCGCGGUAAUACGUAGGGCGCAAGCGUUGUCCGGAAUUAUUGGGCGUAAAGAGCUCGUAGGCGGCUUGUCACGUCGGUUGUGAAAGCCCGGGGCUUAACCCCGGGUCUGCAGUCGAUACGGGCAGGCUAGAGUUCGGUGGGGGAGAUCGGAAUUCCUGGU